rnacentral:rRNA from 1 species
AUUGAACGCUGGCGGCAGGCUUAACACAUGCAAGUCGAGCGGGGUGAUGGUGCUUGCACUAUCACUUAGCGGCGGACGGGUGAGUAAUGCUUAGGAAUCUGCCUAUUAGUGGGGGACAACAUCUCGAAAGGGAUGCUAAUACCGCAUACGUCCUACGGGAGAAAGCAGGGGAUCACUUGUGACCUUUCGCUAAUAGAGUAGCCUAAGUCGGAUUAGCUAGUUGGUGGGGUAAAGGCCUACCAAGGCGACGAUCUGUAGCGUGUCUGAGAGGAUGAUCCGCCACACUGGGACUGAGACACGGCCCAGACUCCUACGGGAGGCAGCAGUGGGGAAUAUUGGACAAUGGGGGGAACCCUGAUCCAGCCAUGCCGCGUGUGUGAAGAAGGCCUUAUGGUUGUAAAGCACUUUAAGCGAGGAGGAGGCUCUUUUGGUUAAUACCCAAGAUGAGUGGACGUUACUCGCAGAAUAAGCACCGGCUAACUCUGUGCCAGCAGCCGCCGCAG